GAUGAAGAACGCAGCGAAAUGCGAUAAGUAAUGUGAAUUGCAGAAUUCAGUGAAUCAUCGAAUCUUUGAACGCAUCUUGCGCUCCUUGGUAUUCCUUGGAGCAUGCCUGUUUGAGUAUCAUGAGCAAAUCUCAAAGUCAAUUCCUUUUGUUGAUUCAAUUGGUUUUGCUUUGGACUUGUAGGCCUUGCAGAUUUCACAGUCUGCUCCUCUUAAAUGCAUUAGCUGGAUCUCAGUAAUUAUGCUUGGUUCCACUCGGCGUGAUAAGUAUCACUCGCUGAGGACACUGUUAAAAAGGUGGCCAGGAAAAUACUGAUUGAACCGCUUCUAACGGUCUAUUAAGUUAGACAAUUACCCUUAAGUUUGAUCUCAAAUCAGGUAGGACUACCCGCUGAACUUAAGCAUAUCAAUAAGCGGAGGA
rnacentral:misc_RNA from 1 species